UGUUUGGUGUACUACAUUACUG
rnacentral:siRNA from 1 species